rnacentral:rRNA from 1 species
GACGAACGCUGGCGGCGUGCUUAACACAUGCAAGUCGAACGGAAAGGCCCUGCUUUUGUGGGGUGCUCGAGUGGCGAACGGGUGAGUAACACGUGAGUAACCUGCCCUUGACUUUGGGAUAACUUCAGGAAACUGGGGCUAAUACCGGAUAGGAGCUCCUGCUGCAUGGUGGGGGUUGGAAAGUUUCGGCGGUUGGGGAUGGACGCGCGGCUUAUCAGCUUGUUGGUGGGGUAGUGGCUUACCAAGGCUUUGACGGGUAGCCGGCCUGAGAGGGUGACCGGCCACCAUGGGACUGAGAGACGGCCCAGACUGCUACGGGAGGCAGCAGUGGGGAAUAUUGCAGAAUGGGCGGAAGCCUGAUGCAGCGAUGCCGCGUGCGGGAUAACGGCUUACGGGUUGUAAACCGCUUUCGCCUGUGACGAGGAGUGAGUGACGGUAAUGGAUAAGGAAGCACCGGCUAACUACGUG